GUCAAUGACAAAGUACACACUGAUGGGGCAAUCCGUCUUUUCUGUACAGGAGGUAACAGGUUCAUCAUCAAACUGAGCAUGGAGUGGAACUAGUGCCACACAAAGAAGAGUGGAUAGAAAGGCCUGUUGGAACAUCUCAGCAGUUCUUCUGGACAUUUAGAUGCCUGGAAAGAGCGUUCAUCCAAACUCCUCCAAAAGCCUCAGAUGCGGCAGGACAGAGACUCCGCGGGACCGGCCGUAUCACGAAGGCUUCUGCAUCCCCGGAGGAGCAGCCGGGAGCAGCCGAGGCUCCUGCAGCCCAGCUCCUCUCUUUCCUCACAGUCAG
rnacentral:lncRNA from 1 species